ACGGGAGGCAGCAGUGGGGAAUAUUGGGCAAUGGGCGAAAGCCUGACCCAGCAACGCCGCGUGAAGGAAGAAGGUCUUCGGAUUGUAAACUUCUUUUAUGAGGGACGAAGGACGUGACGGUACCUCAUGAAUAAGCUACGGCUAACUACGUGCCAGCAGCCGCGGUAAUACGUAGGUAGCGAGCGUUAUCCGGAUUUACUGGGUGUAGAGGGCGCGUAGGCGGGGAAGCAAGUCAGGUGUGAAAUCUAUGGGCUUAACCCAGAAACUGCACUUGAAACUGUUUUUCUUGAGUGCUGGAGAGGUAGACGGAAUUCCUAGUGUAGCGGUGAAAUGCGUAGAUAUUAGGAAGAACACCAGUGGCGAAGGCGGUCUACUGGACAGUAACUGACGCUGAGGCGCGAAAGCGUGGGGAGCAAACAGGAUUAGAUACCCUGGUA
rnacentral:rRNA from 1 species